UACGUAGGUGGCAAGCGUUGUCCGGAUUUAUUAGGUUUAAAGGGUGCGUAGGCGGUCUUAUAAGUCAGUGCUGAAAUAUCCCGGCUUAACCGGGAGGGUGGCAUUGAUACUGUAGGACUUGAGUAGAGUUGAGGUUGGCGGAAUUGACGGUGUAGCGGUGAAAUGCUUAGAUAUCGUCAAGAACACCGAUAGUGAAGACAGCUAACUAAGCUCUAACUGACGCUGAGGCACGAAAGUGUGGGGAUCAAACAGG
rnacentral:rRNA from 1 species